AAACCAACAGGGAUUGCCUUAGUAACUGCGAGUGAAGCGGCAAGAGCUCAAAUUUGAAAUCUGGCAUCAGCCCGAGUUGUAAUUUGUAGAAGCAAUUUUUGAACUAGUCCUUGCAUAUGUUCCUUGGAACAGGACAUCAUAGAGGGUGAGAAUCCCGUUCAUGGUGGGGAAUCUAGUUCUUUGUAAAAUGCUUUCGACGAGUCGAGUUGUUUGGGAAUGCAGCUCUAAGUGGGUGGUAAAUUCCAUCUAAAGCUAAAUAUUGGCGAGAGACCGAUAGCGAACAAGUACAGUGAUGGAAAGAUGAAAAGUACUCCGAAAGGAGAGUGAAACAGAACGUGAAAUUGUUGAAAGGGAAGUGCUUGAGAUCAGUGAUAGAGUUUAGUGAUCAGCUUUCCUUUUGGUUUGUGCACUUGCUAUUCUCUAGGCCAGCAUCAGUUUUUGAGAUAGGAUAAUUGCAUAGGAAUGUGGCUGCUUCGGCAGUGUUAUAGCCUAUGUCGAUACUAUUUUGUAGACUGAGGACCGCGCAUUUGCUAGGAUGUUGGCAUAAUGAUCUUAAGCAGC
rnacentral:rRNA from 1 species